rnacentral:rRNA from 1 species
UACGGGGGGUGCAAGCGUUGUCCGGAUUUAUUGGGUUUAAAGGGAGCGUAGGCGGCCUAUUAAGUCAGGGGUGAAAGACGGUGGCUCAACCAUCGCAGUGCCUUUGAUACUGAUGGGCUUGAUUACACUUGAGGUAGGCGGAAUGUGACAAGUAGCGGUGAAAUGCAUAGAUAUGUCACAGAACACCGAUUGCGAAGGCAGCUCACUAAGCUAUGAUUGACGCUGAGGCUCGAAAGCGUGGGGAUCAAACAGG